CUUGGAAUGAGUAGCGAGAGCAAGGUGGGAAUCCUUGCGGCCGAAUAUCCAAGGUUUCCAGAGUAAAGCUGAUCUGCUCUGGGUAAGUCGGGGCCUAAGGAGAGGCAGAGAUGCGUAUCCGAUGGACAGCAGGUUUUAAGAUUCCUGCACCCCUUGUUAUCAGAACUGCGGGGACACGGGAAGGGAAGCAGAGCCGGGAAUGGAAAGCCCGGUGCAAGCGAAGUAGUCGCAGGGUUGGAAAAUCCGCCCUGCAUAAGACGAAGGCGUGAUGCGGAGCGAAAUGAAGUAGAGAAGCUGCGGCCCCUUCCUGUCGAGAAAAGCCGCUAUCGUGUAGCAAGGGCCCGUACCGUAAACCGACACAGGUGGAUGAGGAGAGGAUCCUAAGGCCGGCGGGAGAAGUGUUGUUAAGGAACUCGGCAAAAUGACUCCGUAACUUCGGGAGAAGGAGUGCUGCGCAAGCAGCCGCAGAGAAAUGGCCCAAGCAACUGUUUAGCAAAAACACAGGUCUAUGCGAAACCGGAAGGUGAGGUAUAUGGGCUGACGCCUGCCCGGUGCUGGAAGGUUAAGGGGAGAGCUUAGCAUAAGCGAAGGUUUGAACUUAAGCCCCAGUAAACGGCGGCCGUAACCAUAACGGUCCUAAGGUAGCGAAAUUCCUUGUCGGGUAAGUUCCGACCCGCACGAAAGGCGUAAUGAUUUGGGCACUGUCUCAACAACACACCCGGUGAAAUUGAAAUACCAGUGAAGAUGCAGGUUACCCGCGCCAGGACGGAAAGACCCCAUGGAGCUUUACUCCAGCCUGAUACUGGGAUUCGGUAUUGCAUGUACAGGAUAGGUGGGAGGCUAAGAACUUAUGGCGCCAGCCGUAAGGGAGCCGAUGUUGGGAUACCACCCCUGCAGUACUGGGUUUCUAACCUGCGCCCGUGACCCGGGCGGGGGACAAUGUCAGGCGGGGAGUUUGACUGGGGCGGUCGCCUCCGAAAGGGUAUCGGAGGCGCUCAAAGGUCUCCUCAGGAUGGUUGGAAACCAUCCAGAGAGUGCAAAGGCAGAAGGAGGCUUGACUGCGACACCGACGGGUGGAGCAGGUACGAAAGUAGGACUUAGUGAUCCGGUGGCAUAAAGUGGGAUUGCCAUCGCUCAACGGAUAAAAGCUACCCUGGGAUAACAGGCUUAUCACUCCCAAGAGUUCACAUCGACGGAGUGGUUUGGCACCUCGAUGUCGGCUCAUCGCAUCCUGGAGCUGGAGCAGGUUCCAAGGGUUGGGCUGUUCGCCCAUUAAAGCGGUACGCGAGCUGGGUUCAGAACGUCGUGAGACAGUUCGGUUCCUAUCCGGCGCGGGCGCAGGAUAUCUGAGAGGAGCUGUCCUUAGUACGAGAGGACCGGGAUGGACCGUCCGCUGGUGGACCGGUUGUCAUGCCAAUGGCACGGCCGGGUAGCCAAGACGGGAAGGGAUAAACGCUGAAGGCAUCUAAGCGUGAAGCCCCCCUCAAGAUGAGAUAUCCAUACUCGAAAGAGUGAGAGACCCCUUAGAGACGAUGAGGUAGAUAGGGCAGAGAUGGAAGCACAGCGAUGUGUGGAGUUGACUGUUACUAAUCGGUCGAAAGCCC
rnacentral:rRNA from 1 species